GUUAAGAAGUCACGUUGAGAUUGGAGGUGGGAGUGGGGGUGAGUCUCCUUCAGACGUGGCUGGAUCUGACAAUCAGAGUAUGCGGUGACAUUGACGGCGACAGGAGGCAGUCAAAUGCCUAGGCAGAUGGGGCAGGUCCCCGGUGAAACCCCACCUCUAAGCCGAAGAGUUUAAAGCCUGAAAGCCAAGCGACAAGUCGAAUCCUGGAACCGGAUUGCGAAUUUAUCUUCCUGUUUGUCUCUCCACCAAAGAUUCACCCACUUGCCUUCGAGCACGGACUUGUCGAAUGUUCUUCACUGAAGAUUAUUUGACCAGAUUAACCUUCAGUGGCAGACAGUAAAAAAGACCUUCAAUGACCAGCUGUGAGACUGGAGGCUGGAUGUCUCUCUAAUGAACUCCGGCUCGUGCAGGAGAGAGAACACUUUAAAAACCAAAGCAGGUGAAGGUCCAGGAAUGAUGACAGAAUAGAAGACGCCU
rnacentral:lncRNA from 13 species